GAGAAGUUUUACAACGCAAGAACAGCAAAGAACAAAACCCUCUUUGCGAUAAAAUCUCUUUUUCUUGAAAAUCGUGAAUUAAAACCUAAAUCCGUCAAUGUUAUUGGGUUCAGAAUAGUUGAACCGUUGAAAACGAGCUAUUGGAUCAUUAUUAACGGAGUCCAGUACACAGCGGAAGCUAUCUCCACUCAUUGGCCUCUCCGAAAACUCCAAGUUACUAUUCACUUUAAGUGAUUAGUAAGGUCGCGUAACUUCUUCAUCCUAACUCGUUUUCUCCAGAAACUUGACGAGUGUUUAUGUAAUUAAAUUACACACAAAAAUAUCGUCAACAAAUAGUUUAGUUACACUGCAAAAUUCUCAGUCCUCACAAAUUAAGCUCAUAACAACUUUUUCUUAUUUAUUUUUAUUAAACUCUUUAGUCAAAAUCUUUAUUAGCUCUACUCUUGUC
rnacentral:lncRNA from 1 species